UUUGUUCACGCCAACAACCAACAUAGUCUGAGGAUUGUGCUUGGGACAGCCUGCAAGAGUGCCAUACCUCUGGCUCCAAAAUUGAAUGCCCAGACCUCACUAGCCCUAACCAUACAUGUUUGGAAUGUGGAAGGAAACCAGACCACCCAGAGGAAACCUACGUGAUCAGAGGGAGAACGUACAGACUCCUCAAAGACAGAGGCAGAAAUUGAACCCUGAUUGGCACUGUAAGACGUUGCACUGACUGAUAUGCUACUGUACUGCACGAAGGUUUUCUGUUGCCGGGAUUCCGAGGGUCCUCUAGAAGAUGCUGAUGUUCUGGGGAAGAUUUAGAGUGUCUGUGGUGUUCAAACGUAAUGUCCUUUCUCAGGGUGAAUGUGCCUCAUAGGGUGGUCAAUGAAGUAGGUUGCUUCAAACUGAGUAAGGCAUUAGGUUCUUCAGUGACUUGUAGAGACAAGAACGAAGUGCUUUGAAAACAGAAGCUGGAGAAUGUUCAGUGAGGCUGCUGUCCAUCGUAACCUCGUAAACAUCGAGGAAUUUGUGGAUUCUGUGAUGAGCUACAUGGAGGAGUGUACUAAGGAUGUUACCAUCAUGAAACAUAUCUAGGUGAGGGCAAAUCAGAAGCCAUGGCUUACUGCAGAGGUCCGUGCACAGCUGAGGGAUCUUGAUGCUGCCCUUAGGUCGGUGGAUGUGACAGCUCUCAGGGAAGCAAGAACGGUGUUUUCCCACUCCAUCAGUAAGGCAAAACGGGAGCAUCCUCAGAGAAUAUACAACCACUUCUGUGAUACCAGAGACACGAGGCACGUUUGACAGGGAAUUCAGAGGAUUACAGACUACAAGUCUACUCUGUGUAUCUGUGACCAGAAUGCCUCACUCUCUGACAAGCUGAAUGUCUUUCAUGCCUGGUUUUUAUGCAAAGAGCAAAGUGCUGGCGAGGAAGGCAUCCCUCUCCCCAGAGGAGCAGACACUCCUGGCUGACGCUGAGAAUUAGAAUCCUACCAGGAGAGGCAACACUUCAUCUGUGAGACUAUUGGAGUCAUCUGCUGUAUCUGGUGCUCCUAGCGUGGCCUCCCAUAUAUCGGUGAGACCUGGCAUAGACUGGGAGACUGUUUCACUGAGCACCUACACUCAAUGAGGGACAAUAAGGUUGGUCUGAGUAUUUUUUUUUAGCGGGUGAUGAAGAGAGAAGACGCUGGGGAGAACCGGUCAUACCAUACGAUCUGGUGGGAGACCUGUUUGUUCGAGAUGGAUUGCGAGUGACAUUCAGAAGGUGGUGUGGGCGUUCACGUUGACCAAGGACCCAGCGCGUGAGUGACAGAGAAGUUCAAGAUGAGCUCCAAUUUGUGCACAUUUGAAUGUUUGGUUAGAAUGGGCCCUUUUCUUUUUGUUAUUUUUUUAUAACCCUUUAAUUAAGUUAAGAUUCAUAAAUAUAAUUCCUUUAAUUGUA